rnacentral:piRNA from 1 species
UAGAAUUCUGAUGUGAUUAACUCUC